rnacentral:lncRNA from 1 species
AAAAUUUGAUGGAUUAGGCUCUAAUAAACUGUAAUAAACACCUGUGAACUUGAGUAGUGCACCUAGAAGUCAAGCGGUACCAUGUUGUGGUGGAGGUAUUAGUGCUCUAAGAAAGUCAUCUAUUUAUGCAUACUACACUUUAGUAUUACCCUUGCUUUGAUAGUUGCCAUGCUUGAGAAAAAUAUAUAACACGUGUGCAUUGACUUAAAUUUCAUUAUAUAUAUCAUUUUAUUCAUGAUGUUUGUGGGUAACAUCUCUGAAAACCCUCACGAGACAACACUCGUCCACUAGGGUAACCUAAGGGUUUAACGGCUCGUUGCACAUGCUAAGUGCAAUCGUAAUGCCCUACGAAAAUGGGUACGUAUCUUAGUUUUGUAUCUUCAGCUUCAAUAUAUUAAAAAAAAAAAAGUCAUAGGUUAGACAACAUCUUUUGUGCCCUCAUUUUACCGUUUGCCCGUUAAUUGCUAGAGACUAGCAAUAAGCAAGUUGGGGGGUGUGAUGAGAGUACAAAAGUGCGUUCUACAUGUUGCUUAAAUUAAUAUUAUUGCUAACAAAUAAUGAUAAAAGGGCUGCAUUAAUUUUAUAUUUUAUUUGGUACAGAUUAUCGUAAAUCAGAGUUUAAAUGUGCAUUUGGUCGACUUCAAGCCUGAUUACACUGGAACAGAAUU